GUCACUUUGCCCGAGUUGGUCUAAGGGGUUCGACUCAAGUUCGAAUGUAUUCGUACGCAGGGGUUCGAAUCCCCUAGGUGACA